GCAUCGGUGGUUAAGUGGUAGAAUUCUCGCCUGCCACGCGGGAGGCCCGGGUUCGAUUCCCGGCCGAUGCA
rnacentral:tRNA from 1 species